rnacentral:rRNA from 1 species
UUGACAGGAAGUAUCGUCUUUUGAAAUCUUUAAGUACAUGUCGUUUCUAAUGACAUCUUUUAGAUGAAUGAUUCGUGUAAAUAUGCUAGUUCUUUCAUGAUUAUGUGAUAGGUGGUGCAUGGCCGUUCUUAGUUCGUGGAGUGAUCUGUCUGCUUAAUUGCGUUUCACUAUGGCCCCAAAGUUAGCAAGUUAUCCAAUCAUGACCUUCGUCGACCCCUCACCUUUGAGUGCGCGUCCUAGCUUAGAGUACAUGGUGUAAAUGGACUUGUUUUGGGUACCCAGAAAGCAACGAACGUGACCGCAACGUCUUGUUGUCUCUCUUUUGACAGUUAUGGGUUAUCCCAGUCAUGUGCUUAUACUUUUAUGUGUAAAUACGUACGACACAGAGACUAGAUACCAAACUAGGCGUACCGCUGUAUCAUUUCUUUAAACCAGAGGAAGGUUGCGGCAAUAACAGGUCUGUGAUGC